rnacentral:rRNA from 1 species
UGCGUAGGCGGUUUGGUAAGUCUGAUGUGAAAUCUAUGGGCUCAACUCAUAGUCUGCAUCGGAAACUGCCGGGCUUGAGUGUGGGAGAGAUGAGUGGAAUUUCCGGUGUAGCGGUGAAAUGCGUAGAUAUCGGAAGGAACACCUGUGGCGAAAGCGGCUCACUGGACCACAACUGACGCUGAUGCACGAAAGCUAGGGGAGCAAACAGGAUUAGAUACCCUGGUAGUCCUAGCCCUAAACGAUGACUGCUUGGUGUGACGGGUACCCAAUCCCGCCGUGCCGUAGCUAACGCGUUAAGCAGUCCGCCUGGGGAGUACGGUCGCAAGGCUGAA